rnacentral:rRNA from 1 species
AACGAACGCUGGCGGCAUGCCUAACACAUGCAAGUCGAACGAGACCUUCGGGUCUAGUGGCGCACGGGUGCGUAACGCGUGGGAAUCUGCCCUUGGGUUCGGGAUAACAGUUGGAAACGACUGCUAAUACCGGAUGAUGUCUUCGGACCAAAGAUUUAUCGCCCAGGGAUGAGCCCGCGUAGGAUUAGGUAGUUGGUGGGGUAAAGGCCUACCAAGGCGACGAUCUAUAGCUGGUCUGAGAGGAUGACCAGCCACACUGGAACUGAGAGACGGACCAGACUCCUACGGGAGGCAGCAGUGGGGAAUAUUGGACAAUGGGGGCAACCCUGAUCCAGCGAUGCCGCGUGUGUGAAGAAGGCCUGAGGGUUGUAAAGCACUUUAGUUGGGGAGGAAUAGCCUAGAUAUGAAUAAGAUUUAGGAAUGACGUUACCCAAAGAAUAAGCACCGGCUAACUCUGUGCCAGCAGCCGCGGUAAUACAGAGGGUGCAAGCGUUAAUCGGAAUGACUGGGCGUAAAGGGCGCGUAGGCGGACUGAUGAGUCAUAGGUGAAAUCCCCGGGCUUAACCUGGGAACUGCCUAUGAAACUAUUAAUCUAGAAUAUAGGAGAGGGGAGUGGAAUUUCCGGUGUAGCGGUGAAAUGCGUAGAUAUCGGAAAGAACACCAGUGGCGAAGGCGACUCUCUGGCCUAAUAUUGACGCUGAGGCGCGAAAGCGUGGGGAGCAAACAGGAUUAGAUACCCUGGUAGUCCACGCCGUAAACGAUGAGAACUAGAUGCUUGUCAGCGAAGGCUGAUGGGUAUUGAAGCAAACGCAUUAAGUUCUCCGCCUGGGGAGUACGGUCGCAAGAUUA